rnacentral:lncRNA from 1 species
UGGCAGCUAGGUGUCACAGUGGAUAAAGUGCCCAGGCUGGAGUCAAGAAGACUCAUCUUCAUGAGAUAAUAAUAGAACUACUUUCCAAGAUGAUUGUAAGGAUAAAAUAAUGAGAUAACAGAGAGGUGCACCCAUUUCACAGUUUCCUCACCUGAGAAAUGGCUGCACUGGUCUCAGAGAGUUAUAGAGAAGAUUGGAGCACAAACUUCAAAAUAAAUGCAAUG